rnacentral:tRNA from 1 species
UCCUCGGUGGCUCAGAUGGAUAGAGCGUCUGCCAUGUAAGCAGGAAGAUCCCGGGUUCGAGUCCCGGUCGGGGCA